GGUGAACGCUGGCGGUAGGCCUAACACAUGCAAGUCGAACGGCAGCACAGUAAGAGCUUGCUCUUACGGGUGGCGAGUGGCGGACGGGUGAGGAAUACAUCGGAAUCUACUUUUUCGUGGGGGAUAACGUAGGUAAACUUACUCUAAUACCGCAUACGACCUACGGGUGAAAGCAGGGGAUCUUCUGACCUUGCGCGAUUGAAUGAGCCGAUGUCGGAUUAGCUAGUUGGCUGGGUAAAGGCCCACCGAGGCGACGAUCCGUAGCUGGUCUGAGAGGAUGAUCAGCCACACUGGAACUGAGACACGGUCCAGACUCCUACGGGAGGCAGCAGUGGGGAAUAUUGGACAAUGGGCGCAAGCCUGAUCCAGCCAUACCGCGUGGGUGAAGAAGGCCUUCGGGUUGUAAAGCCCUUUUGUUGGGAAAGAAAAGCAGCAGGUUAAUACCCAGCUGUUCUGACGGUAACCAAAGAAUAAGCACCGGCUAACUUCGUG
rnacentral:rRNA from 1 species